rnacentral:rRNA from 1 species
AUUGAACGCUGGCGGCAGGCCUAACACAUGCAAGUCGAACGGUAACAGAAAGCAGCUUGCUGCUUUGCUGACGAGUGGCGGACGGGUGAGUAAUGUCUGUGAAACUGCCUGAUGGAGGGGGAUAACUACUGGAAACGGUAGCUAAUACCGCAUAACGUCGCAAGACCAAAGAGGGGGACCUUCGGGCCUCUUGCCAUCGGAUGUGCCCAGAUGGGAUUAGCUAGUAGGUGGGGUAACGGCUCACCUAGGCGACGAUCCCUAGCUGGUCUGAGAGGAUGACCAGCCACACUGGAACUGAGACACGGUCCAGACUCCUACGGGAGGCAGCAGUGGGGAAUAUUGCACAAAGGGCGCAAGCCUGAUGCAGCCAUGCCGCGUGUAUGAAGAAGGCCUUCGGGUUGUAAAGUACUUUCAGCGGGGAGGAAGGGAGUAAAGUUAAUACCUUUGCUCAUUGACGUUACCCGCAGAAGAAGCACCGGCUAACUCCGUG